UGGCACAUUUCAUUGACCUGCUUUCUUGUAUGUGAGCAGUGUUAUUUCUCAUGUGCUAUACAAAUAGUUGAUGGUUAAUUAGCAGACUCACUAUACAUAGUAAUUCUGCCAGUCACCUUCAGACAAAA